rnacentral:rRNA from 1 species
UGGCGAACGGGUGAGUAACACGUGGGUGAUCUGCCCUGCACUUCGGGAUAAGCCUGGGAAACUGGGUCUAAUACCGGAUAGGACGAUGGUUUGGAUGCCAUUGUGGAAAGUUUUUCGGUGUGGGAUGAGCUCGCGGCCUAUCAGCUUGUUGGUGGGGUAAUGGCCUACCAAGGCGUCGACGGGUAGCCGGCCUGAGAGGGUGGACGGCCACAUUGGGACUGAGAUACGGCCCAG